CAAGUCGAGCGGAACGAGUUAUCUGAACCUUCGGGGAACGAUAACGGCGUCGAGCGGCGGACGGGUGAGUAAUGCCUAGGAAAUUGCCCUGAUGUGGGGGAUAACCAUUGGAAACGAUGGCUAAUACCGCAUGAUGCCUACGGGCCAAAGAGGGGGACCUUCGGGCCUCUCGCGUCAGGAUAUGCCUAGGUGGGAUUAGCUAGUUGGUGAGGUAAGGGCUCACCAAGGCGACGAUCCCUAGCUGGUCUGAGAGGAUGAUCAGCCACACUGGAACUGAGACACGGUCCAGACUCCUACGGGAGGCAGCAGUGGGGAAUAUUGCACAAUGGGCGCAAGCCUGAUGCAGCCAUGCCGCGUGUAUGAAGAAGGCCUUCGGGUUGUAAAGUACUUUCAGUCGUGAGGAAGGCGGCGUCGUUAAUAGCGGCGUUGUUUGACGUUAGCGACAGAAGAAGCACCGGCUAACUCCGUGCCAGCAGCC
rnacentral:rRNA from 1 species